GACGAACGCUGGCGGCGUGCUUAACACAUGCAAGUCUACGAGAAAAAGGUAGCAAUAUCUUGAUUAAAGUGGCGCACGGGUGAGUAACACGUAAGCAAUCUACCCUUAGAUUUGGAAUAACUUCGAGAAAUCGGGGCUAAUACCGAAUAAUGCAGCGGCACCGCAUGGUGAUGUUGUUAAAGUUUCGAUGUCUAGGGACGAGCUUGCGUCUGAUUAGCUAGUUGGUGAGGUAACGGCUCACCAAGGCUGCGAUCAGUAGCUGGUCUGAGAGGACGACCAGCCUCACUGGAACUGAGACACGGUCCAGACACCUACGGGUGGCUG
rnacentral:rRNA from 1 species